UACCCCGCUGAAACCACGAGGAGAACAAGCCGAUACGCCUCCCAUCUGCGUAUCGGGAUCUUCCCCUUCCGUCUCCAUCUCACUAUCUGUGUCACUGCUAUCGUCAUCGCUUGCACUAACCCCUUGCUGGCAUGCGGUGGAUAUUUCAUUGCCCACAUUCUCGACUUCGCGGACGAUGUCGCGCACCCGUUGCUCUAGCGCGAGCGCUUCCGCGCGUAGACGAAGGAUUUUGGCGUAGUUCGAUUGGUGCGUGUGUAGCGUUUUAAGGGCGCUCGAGACGGCGUCAUCUGCUUCUAGGAGUGAGAGGGCGGCUGCUGGGGCUCCUGCAGCUGUUGGGGAAGAGACGAUGGACAUUAGGAGAUUGUUCAGUCUGGUUUCUAAGGUGCUGAGCGGGGUGAGGAGUUGAGAGUCCAUGGUGAACAGCUGGUAGGGGUAUUGCGCUCGCUAUUGGUUGUAGCAACGCAAGCAGUGGUAUGGUAAAUAUUAGUAGUAUUGAAGCUAUCGC
rnacentral:sRNA from 1 species